rnacentral:rRNA from 1 species
UGCGCAGACGGUUUGUUAAGUUUGAAAUCAAAGCCUGGAGCUUAACUCCAGUUAGUUUCAAAAACUGGCAGGCUAGAGUGUGGUAGAGGCAAAUGGAAUUUCUAGUGUAGCGGUAAAAUGCGUAGAUAUUAGAAGGAACACCAGUGGCGAAGGCGAUUUGCUGGGCCAUUACUGACGUUCAUGCACGAAAGCGUGGGGAGCAAAUA